AAAUGCACAAAUCUCAAGAAGCAAGCUUCACACAACGAAGUAUUUUAUUAUUCUGUUCUUGCUCACUUGUAAUAAGCUUAAAACAAGAAGAUCAGGUGCGCUGGUUUUGUUUACGAAGAGAUUUGUGCCCUCGAAAUCGUGAAUAGGUUCCAAAGGCGGCCAUUGUGGCGGCCAUUUUGGGAUUUUAACAAGUCUGUCCUUAAAGAAGCCAUUGAUAAUAUUUAUGCAUGUCCCACCCUAAGCUUCUAAGUCGCAUCCCUUCAGUAGGACAUGUCGCAUCGCUUCUCGCUGUUGCAUCCAAUGUUUUGCAACUCAACUCGAGUCACGUCGCCGUGAUGCCCUCUGCUCUGAUGUUGCGGAUCUGUCAGUCCAGAGACAUCCUCCGCGGCACUACUUUUGUUUUUCAAUCUCGUUGACGGCCGUCUCCGUCGUUGUUUCACUUUGGUUUAGUCAUAUAAAAUUGUGAAGCUUUUAUGCGAUUAUUUCCCUGUCCCCAAAGUGGAGAAAAUAGUGAAGAAAAGCAGCAAAGUGAUCGUGCAAAUUUGGGUAAUAGUGCGUAAAACGCGUCGCCAACUAACAGCGUAGUUUAAUCUCUUGAAGAAAGAGGCGUAGCACCCUGCAGUCAACCCCCCAUCUAAAGUGUGAUGGCGAGCCUGAAGGGAGGGGAUUAACUUAAAACGUAGCUAGAUUUGAUAUUUGCAUAAAUUGUGGUUUAUUGUAUCUAGUGGUGGAGUUUUUCCGAUUGUAGGGAAUCUCGGUACUCGAAGAGUGCAGUGUUUUGAAAGUUGUCCUACGCCUACGUGAUAAAAUAUGUGAAAAGGGUUGCCCCGUAUCAAGCCGAUUGGAAGCGCUCUAGUUCGAUCCGGUACGACGAUAGAAGCUUAUCAGUGAGAUUUGGAACGCGUAGAAGCAAGAGAAAAGUUUGUUAUCAUAGUGAUAAUGAGAUUAAGAAAACAAAAAGUUUGAAAAUCUUGGAAAAAUAAUAACAGUGAACAAGCAUCCCGCAACAAUAUUGAAUUGUGAAAGAUUACGUGGGCAGCUAGAAAAAAAAGUGGAAAAUGGGAGGAAAUAUGUCAGCCUUUCGCUUCCAUAUCUUGUUGGUCACUUUUACGCUGCUGCUGCUGAUGGCGACACAAAACGCUGUGUCGGCCAAGGAAUAUAGCAUCGAGUUGGAAUCGUCCGGUUCGGUGGUGCUGGGCGGAACGAUGGAAUUCCGCGCUACCCU